rnacentral:rRNA from 1 species
CGGCGGACGGGUGAGUAACACGUGGAUAACCUACCUAUAAGACUGGGAUAACUUCGGGAAACCGGAGCUAAUACCGGAUAAUAUAUUGAACCGCAUGGUUCAAUAGUGAAAGACGGUUUUGCUGUCACUUAUAGAUGGAUCCGCGCCGCAUUAGCUAGUUGGUAAGGUAACGGCUUACCAAAGCAACGAUGCGUAGCCGACCUGAGAGGGUGAUCGGCCACACUGGAACUGAGACACGGUCCAA